CGAGUUUCUAAUCGAUAUCCGACCUCACUUUUUUCUUACCGUUAGCAAGUUAGCUAACGUGUCAAACGUACCCAGCAACCAGGCAUACUGCUCCCGUAAUCAAGUUUCCUGCUGGAGUCGGGCUGUUGAUUCUUGUCUAGCCCAUGAUGACUGGUUGAAAGGACAUUACAAAAUAGGCUACGUCAAUUCACCACAAGUCAAAAUCAGAUCAACAGACAGGGACAUCGGCCUUCUCUUGGGAAUAUGCCAGAUAUGCCAUAACAAGAAAAAAAUGGUGUUUUGCCCCUGCGGUUGUGAAGAGGAUGCUGUGGAGGUGGCAGCAUGAACGUGUCACACAGACAUUGGCUAAACUACUCGGCUUCUACACUUGCCCUCAGAGUUCACAUAUGGUUAAGUGCACAGGUGGCCAGCCAGGUUCAGACUGAUACUGGUAACAAGAGGAAAACAUGCUGAUUGGUA